rnacentral:tRNA from 1 species
AAGGGUAUUGUUUAAUGGUAGAACGUAGAUCUCCAAAAUCUGCUGUGUGGGUUCGAUUCCUACUACCCUUGCCA